rnacentral:rRNA from 1 species
GAUGAACGCUGGCGGCGUGCCUAAUACAUGCAAGUCGAGCGAACAGAUAAGGAGCUUGCUCCUUUGACGUUAGCGGCGGACGGGUGAGUAACACGUGGGUAACCUACCUAUAAGACUGGGAUAACUUCGGGAAACCGGAGCUAAUACCGGAUAAUAUUUCGAACCGCAUGGUUCGAGAGUGAAAGAUGGUUUUGCUAUCACUUAUAGAUGGACCCGCGCCGUAUUAGCUAGUUGGUAAGGUAACGGCUUACCAAGGCGACGAUACGUAGCCGACCUGAGAGGGUGAUGGGCCACACGGGAACUGAGACACGGUCCAGACUCCUAGGGGAGGCAGCGGUAGGGAAUCUUCCGCAAUGGGCGAAAGCCUGACGGAGCAACGCCGCGUGAGUGAUGAAGGUCUUCGGAUCGUAAAACUCUGUUAUUAGGGAAGAACAUACGUGUAAGUAACGGUGCACGUCUUGACGGUACCAAAUCAGAAAGCCACGGCUAACUACGG